GGCCAGCACACAGUGGGUCUGUUUCCAUAGAGGGCUGUGGAGUGAGGACAGAGGGGAGAACGUGAUGUCGUGUGUGGGACUUCAACAGAGAGCACUGACAAAGAACGUCCAGGCCACAGGGAGCCACUGUGGGAGCCGGAGCAGGGGAGCGACAGGAAUGGACACGGGGCUCCCCCGCAGUGACCCAGCCCUCUAGCCAGGUGUGCACAGCAGAGCAGGAUGACAAGAACAGACAUGCUACUGAUGAGCACUCACUGAGAGCGGGUGAGGGGCCAGGCCCGUUCUGAGCCCUUCGGGUCGAUGACUUCAUUCUGUCCUGGCGCGAUAAGUCUGCGUGGUGGGGACCACCACUGUCCUGUUUGUGCAGACAGGCAAAGCGACCCCCCGAGGUCACCCUGCUGGUCGCAGUGUCCCCGGGUCCCUGUGUAGCAGCUCUGGGCCGUCGUGUCCAGCGGGCCGGUGUGCUCGCUGCCUCCUGGCGUGUGUCUGGGAAGAUCGUCAGCAUCCCGGGCUCACUGUCCCCAUUUGUGCCCCGGGAGUGACUCCUGCCCGGCUCUCAGGGCAGCUCUCUCUGACCCCAAGACCAUGUAGCACCGUCCCAGCACUGCAGGCCAAGGCCGCCCGGGGACCCUCACAGUCUCAUCAUCUUCAGGAGGCAGGAAAAACCUCAAAGGGUUUCCUUGAAAGGCCCCUUUAAGCCAACUUGCUGUCAUUUUGAGAUUUUUCCUCCGGAGAUGAACAUGGAAGGAACUGCCUAGUGCUGACAAACUUUGGGAAACUUCCAAGCACUUUGGGAUUCCCUUUCCCUCUCGGUCCUGCAUCAGCCUGUCACCUUGAAAGGACAUGCGACACUCCCUUCGGCCAGGCAACCAGCUGGGGACCUUUAAUAUCCCUUGGCCAAGAGCUGCAGGUCAGGAAGAGGGCAGAGCCCCUGGCUCUGUGUCCCAUGUCCCUCUCAAGACCUGGCUGAGCCGCUGGUCCUCCCGGCCCACAGGGUCCCCACCCUGGACAGAGGCCAGCCUCGGGGCUCCCAGGGCCCUCCAGCCUCUGGUGCCGGUAGCCCUUCCUCCCUUGGGCCAGCACCGCAUGAGGCAGGGGCUGCUCCACUCCCAGGUCACUCCUGGGGACCAGCCCCCAGCAGCCUCUGCAGCGGGAUGCCAGGGCCCUCCUGCCCCCAGAGGAAGGCAAACUCCAGGAAGGGUGGUGCUCAGGCCCUCCUCUGGGCUCAGCACGGCCCUCGGAGCAUCCCUGAGGGCUCUGAGGACAAUCUCAGAGGCCUGGACAGGCAGGGCUCACCAGCGGCCACCUCGCCUCAGCCCAACUCCAGAAGGUUCUGCUCCUGUUUCAAAAGAAGGGUUUCCACCUCCAACAAGAAUCAACAGGGGCUGGAAACCAAGCGCACGUAAUCAGACCAGCUCCCUCCCAGACCCGAGCCUGGCAGGUCCACCUGCCUUCUGGCUCAUCUGCCCAGCUGCCUGUAGAUGUCACAAACUCGCCUGGCCCAAGGUGUCUAGGUGCCUGUCCCCCCGUCUCUCCACCCACAUCUCAUCCCUCAGCCCAUCCUGGUGGCUCCACCUGCAGAACCGCCCAGAAUCUGCUCCUUCCGCAUGCCCCCCGCCCCAACCUGGGCCAAACCACACCAGCCCUCCCUCUAAUGCCUGUGGUCCCUUGCUGCGCCCGCACCUCCAGUCUGCUCUCCACACACCACAGCCUGACCACGUCAGCUCACAUCCUCCUCUGCUCCACACCCUCCGUGGCCACCCUCCAGGCAAAGCCCGGCCCUGCCAGGCCCUGAUGACGAGCUGACCUCAUUUCCUGCCACCCCGCUCCCUCCUGCCCAUCCCACUCCAGCCGACCGGCCUCCCCAUCUUCUCUCACACACCAAGACCAUUCCUGCCCUUGCUCUUGCUGGUCCUUCCUCUUAGAACACUCUUGAUGUCCACACGGCUCCCUCGCCUCCUCCAGAUCUUUGAUCAAACGUCAUCUCCUCAGUGAGGCUUUCCCUGACCUCCCCUUCUCACCACCUGAGCCCUGGGCAGGCUCAGUCUGUCUGCAUGUGACACGUUCCCCCCACCACCUGUGAGCCCCCAGGAGCAGGCCAGAAUGCCAGGGUUUGAAUCCUAGCUCUGCCACUUACCAGCUGUGUGACUUGGGACAAGGUGCUUAACCUCUCUGUGCCUCCAUUUCCUCCUAUGUAAAAUGUACCUUCACUCUAGGUCGUUGUGGAAGCUAAUGAGUUAAUACGUACAAACUGUCUGGAAUGCAGAGACGUCCGUUAGCCAUUACUCGAAUCGUUAUGAUGUGCUGUGGACCAAGGCUUCCUGGCCAGUGGUCCGAAGACCUGGGCUGUGAUCCACCUCUGCCGCUACUCUCCACGUGGCCUUGGCUGGCAAAUGGAGCACUCUGGCAUGGCUACAACAUGGAGGAUUUAGGCUAGCUUCAAGGAAGAACUUCCAGAUAACACUGCAAGGCUCCAGUCUAACCUGCGGCCCAACUGGACUCAAGCCAUAUCUGUUGGGGGCCUGCUAUAGACUGUUACCCAAGUUAAUCCUCGUUUUGGAGGACAAGACUGAGGCUCAGAGAAGGGAGGCAAGUGGCCAUAGCAAGGACGUGUGGACCAGGCAGCUAGGCCCAGACGCUGCUGCUGCUCUCUGGGGAGCUGGCCGAGGUGGCUUGCCCGCGUGCCGGGGGCUCUGGCGCCAGUGGCACGUGUGCUGGGAGCGCCUGAGCCGUGGUGGCCGCACGGGCUGCCCAGAGGCGCCCGGGGGGCUUGUGCACACAGCGGGCCGGCUCUUGGCCCGGCCCCGCCCGGCUCCCCUCCCGGCUUUGUCUUGCUUUGCUUGGGGGAAUCACGCUCAGGCGACCACCAGGCCCAGUGUCUGGAGCCUGUACAGGGGAGGCCACAGCCUGCGCCGCCCGCCGGCCCUCCGGACACCCCUUCCUUCCUUCGGGCCUUGCGGGACCCUGUUCCCCACUUGCACAGAGGAGGUCUUUCCAGAAUACGCAGGGCACCUCGCUCCUUCUGGAAUGCGAUGGGUCCCUCGCUGCCCUUUCCGCGUCACCCUGGAACGCAGCUCGGGUCCUGCUUUCUUUGCCUCGUGGCCUCCAGAGGCCGCCACAGGAGGGCCCGGGCGGACGGUGCACCAAGCUCAGCCCCCAAGGGCCCUGAGGCGAGAGCUGCCCACCAGGGACCUCGCACCAGCUGAGGAGGCUGUUGAGGCCCCGAGGGGCGGACACAGGGCUCGGGCCAAAGGGACCCCAAAGGCUUCGUGCUGGCUGGGGGCUUCUGGCCGUGCUGGGGGUCCAGCUCCCUGCGGUGUCUGAGGGCCCGCUGUGUGCAGAGAAGCAAGGACAGCGGCCGGCCCAGAGCUGUUCACAGCCCAAGCGCGGACGAGCCAGCCAGGCAGACAGAACCGCAGCUCACGGGCCGUUUCCAGGGGUGAAGGGUGGCGUCGGGGCAGAGGCCCACGUCUGCUGGGGAACUACUUAAGUACAGAGAAGUUUUAGCUGAGACUUGCAGCUUCCAGUGAGAUAUGAGUUUGGCUCAAAUAAUGGAAAACUCUAUUAAGAGUGGCUUAAACCACAAAGACAUCUAACGUGUAAUGUUUAAAAACGAUGUGAGAGACGGGAAGUCCAGAUGUGGUCUGGUGGCCCGACAAUGUCAUCGGUGACCCAGAAGCCACCCCCUCUCUAUCCCACCAUUAACAGAAUGUUAGUGUCACUCCCUCAUGACUGCAGUGUGGCUGCCUCCAUUCCAGCCAUCAUAUCUGCACAGUCAGGGUUCAAGCCGGAAGCAAGGGGGCAUCUCAACUCAGGGCGCCAGGGCAAAGGUAGAUUUUCAAAGCUCAUUCUAAUACUGAAAACCUGGAAGACUACAGAGCGAAUGCCAGGUGUCAAGCUUUUUGUUGGUAUGAAAUGGGAACGGCUGGCCACCUGCGACAGUCCCUCUCGGAGACGCUCUUCUGGAGCUGAGCUGGAGCCACUCUCUGGAUGGAGCAUGUGUUCCCAGCUCACCACAGUCCCCGCCACUCCCUCAGCUUGCCUCUGGCCCAGGGCCUCACCCACCUCUCUGGACCUGACCCCUGGAGGCAUCUGAGUUUGCGGUCCUCCCGUUAGCCCCAUGGAGCUUCACUUCUUCACCCGAGACGUGAGGACAGCAGUGUCCAGCCUGGGUUAGACGCACUGGGAAUGCAGCCUCAGAGCAGGGGUUCACUGAGUGCCCCGAAGGCAGCUGAGACGAGGUGGGUGGGCGAGGCCCGGGACCAGGGGCUCAGGGAAGUGUCCCCGAGGAAUGCUGUGUCUUCUGACUCCAAAGCUGCACCCUGACCUCCUGCCCGUCUCCCACUCCCUCGUGCAUCACUGCAGCCAGGGAUCCCGCAAACCCUGGGCACGCGGGGGCCACGGCCCCGGGGUCAGCACCAAGGGCACCAGCAACAGGCACCCAUCCAACACUCCAUCUCCAGCAGCUCAGAGAGCACAGCGCCCCCAUGAGGUACCACUGCCAGACCCACUUAUAGAGAGAAACUGAGCCUCCAAAGGGACCAGGGACCCGUCCAAGGUCACACAGACUUAGAAAGCUAGAAGCCAGGUCUGCCGGUCUCUCACACAAGCAGACAUCCCAGCCUCAGGCGAUGACAACCAGGUGACCUAAGCACAGAGCGGGCUGCGUGUGUCAUGGUGGGGGCGGGGUACUGGCCGGGCAGGCUGGGGAACAGAUGCCAGAAGGGCAGAGUCUCGCAGGGUGAGGGCACUGCUGUCUGGAGAGCAGAGGAAAGGCGCUCCUGCUGGAGGACCAGCUCAUGCUAAGGCCUGGAGGUGCGGCGGCCUGAGAAACACGGCUUGUACGUGACAGAGGGGCCUCUGGAAGCCACCGCCCUCACCUGUGGAGGCCCCUGGACUCCCCCUCCUCCCGGCUUGACCCCCGCCCCGGCAGCUGUGCCUCCAUCCAUCUCUCUGUCUGCCCUCCUCCGGCUGCCCCGAGGCCCAGCCCCUGAGCCGGCUCCUCCUCAGCAUCCUGCUCUUUCCACAUUGUCCGGUCUUGGCUCAGACACAACAGGUGGGUUCCCUCCCUUGAAGUGAUAAUUAAGUUUCUCAUUACCGAGGGAUACCCUCAUGACAUGUCCUCAAAGUUUAAAAAGAAUUAAAAUUGAGAAAAGAAUCCAGACUGCUAACGGUCUAAAUGAGCACAGGAUGAGAGAAGGUCCCUCUGUUCCUGGUGAGGAAGGGGCCCUGUUCCCGGAGGAAGACGGGAGGGGGUGACCUGGACCCCCGUGCGCCUGUGGGCAAUCCUUCCGUCUAGUCAGGGUGUAGCCAUCGUCACACGUUUCUGAGCCCCUUUCUGUAUCUGUCCCAGAGCCCUCCCAGCGCUCCCAGGCUGGAGAGGCCAUCAGACAGUGAGCACAGCUCUGGGGGCCCAGGUGAGGCCAGAGGGGGCUGCAGGAGGGGAUGUGGUUUGAGAAGGGCUUCAUGGAGGCGGU
rnacentral:lncRNA from 1 species